GACGGGGGGGGCAAGUGUUCUUCGGAAUGACUGGCGUAAAGGGCACGUAGGCGGUGCAUCGGGUUGAAAGUGAAAGUCGCCAAAAACUGGCGGAAUGCUCUCGAAAACCAAUUCACUUGGGUGAGACAGAGGAGAGUGGAAUUUCGUGUGUAGGGGUGAAAUCCGCAAAUCUACGAAGGAAGGCCAAAAGCGAAGGCAGCUCUCGUGGGAUCCCUACCGAGGCUGGGGAUGGCGAAAGCUGGGGAGCG
rnacentral:rRNA from 1 species